rnacentral:rRNA from 1 species
UACGUAAGGGGCGAGCGUUGCUCGGAAUUACUGGGCGUAAAGGGCUUGUAGGCGGUCUUGUAAGUCGAAUGUAAAAAACCACGGCUCAACCGUGGGGCUGCGUUCGAAACUGCAAGGCUAGAGUUUGGUGGAGGGCGAUGGAAUUCCCGGUGUAGCGGUGAAAUGCGUAGAUAUCGGGAAGAACACCGAAGGCUAAAGCAGUCGUCUAUGCCGAAACUGACGCUGAGGAGCGAAAGCAUGGGGAU